UCCCAUAUGGUCUAGCGGUUAGGAUUCCUGGUUUUUACACAGGUGACCUGAGUUCAACACCUGGUAUGGGAA
rnacentral:tRNA from 1 species